CACCUCGCUGUCGAGCACCUGUAACACCCCUCAAUUAGGAGUGCUAAACACAAUUUGAAAAUUCAAAUGGAGUCAGAAAUAUCAAGCCACGUGUUCCCUGCUCUCUCUCUCUCCCGUGCAUCGUCGCCGUGUCCAAGUUCGCCACGAACGCCGCCCGCUAACACCGUGCGCUGGCCAUCAGCGAAGCUUGCCGCGUUGCCCGGCCGCCAGCGACGUCGUCAAGUCCUUCACGCUCUCCUUCCGACCUCGCCACCUGCCAUUCCUUCUCUCCUGCGCUUCCUCUCAUUCCUCUCACUCUCUCACUCAGCUCUUCUUCAACCUCCAGAAACCAAGAACAGAGCAUUCGCCCCUUCCAUCGAUCUGCGCCUCCGGACCAUCUCCCUCAAAUCGACCGCAACCAAAGCUCCUUCAUCACCGUAGCUUCCUCCCCGACUCGUCCUUGCCAAGCUCCAGCCCUCCAUCGCCGGGAAUCGAGGUGGAACAGAGCCGUCGGCCCCUUUUUCCGCCCGAGCUCCACCUCGACGUCGAACUCCCUCGUCCGGUCAUCAUUUUCUUCACUUGACGGCUCAAAUCGACUCUAGAUAUGAUAGAUGAACCACGUGAGGGAUGUGACAUUGAAGCCGAGCCAGAAGACGGUGAAUGGUGGACACGUCUAGAAGAUGGAUGGAUGGAUCCCGAUGUACAUGAUCCCAAGGAAGGUAUAAAAGCUAACCAGGAUUCGCAUCAGUGGGCUCGAUGUGA